CUUGACCGACCCCAGCCACAGCGGCACGGCACGCUCUUGGCCGUAUGUGGCGAGAAGCGCCUGCGCCUC
rnacentral:antisense_RNA from 1 species